rnacentral:rRNA from 1 species
AGUGAACGCUGGCGGUAGGCCUAACACAUGCAAGUCGAACGGCAGCACAGUAAGAGCUUGCUCUUACGGGUGGCGAGUGGCGGACGGGUGAGGAAUACAUCGGAAUCUACUUUUUCGUGGGGGAUAACGUAGGGAAACUUACGCUAAUACCGCAUACGACCUACGGGUGAAAGCAGGGGAUCUUCGGACCUUGCGCGAUUGAAUGAGCCGAUGUCGGAUUAGCUAGUUGGCGGGGUAAAGGCCCACCAAGGCGACGAUCCGUAGCUGGUCUGAGAGGAUGAUCAGCGACAUUGGAACGGGGACACGGUCCAGACUCCUACGGGAGGCAGCAGUGGGGAAUAUUGGGCAAUGGGCGCAAGCCUGAUCCAGCCAUACCGCGUGGGUGAAGAAGGCCUUCGGGUUGUAAAGCCCUUUUGUUGGGAAAGAAAAGCAGCAGGUUAAUACCCCGCUGUUCUGACGGUACCCAAAGAAUAAGCACCGGCUAACUUCGUG